rnacentral:lncRNA from 12 species
AUGGUGGGCUCAGGAUCCCGUUUCCUCCUGAUUCAGCCUGCUGCAGCCACCCACAGUAGAGAGUGUCCCCUGGGCCUUCCUCCUCAUCAUUUGAUGUCUCCUCUUCUGCUCCAGCUUCAGGAAACCAGGCCAGGGCUGGGCAUGCGGGCACUCACUGCAGGGGCUGGGCACCAGCAGUGUGGAAGGCUGUGGAUAGGGUCAGGCCAGGGGGGCCACAUGGGAGGCAUGAGGACCCCUGGGGCGCCCCAGCUGGAGACACACAGUCUGCUGGAGAUGCUAACCCAGUUUGCCUCUUUCCAGCGGGAACUGACAAGUUCCCCAAGAGGCCCCUGGGCCUGGAGCGAGUGUCUCCAGCGCCCGGGCCUCUCCUCCUUUUUCCUACUGUUGAGACGCUCCCCAGAGUGGAUGAGCUGGUCUCCCCAGACUCAGCCACCCAGUCUGAGCCACCUGGACCCCCUCCCGGCCAUGCCAUCCUCAAGGCCGAGGAGCCGCUGCAGGAGGGAAGCUUCCCAGAGCCCAAGGCUGCACACCUGUGUCCGGGAACACUGGGGGCUCUGGUUCUGGCCCGGCUGCCCCCAGCCCAGGACUCCUCGCUGGCCUGCGGCUACUCCCCCAGCGAUGGAACUCCCUCCUCAUCCUGCCAGUGAACCAGGAGGGUGCAGGCAGGUGGCCCCUGGACAUGGGCUUGAAGACAGAACACUGGGUCUCCUUCCCUUCGGCACCUGCCUGGGCCACCCCAGAGGCCACAUGACAAACCAGGCCCUGGAACCCCCCUGGGACUCCCAUCAUGGGGUCCACCUAGCCCACUAAAGAUGACACUGUAGGGCCCAGGACACCCUUCCUGCCCUGUGACCACUGCAGCUCAAGCCCCUCUCUGGGCAGUGACUGGCACAGCCAGGGCAGAGCCAGGGCAGCACUGAGUCCACUGCCCCAAGGCCCCGCUGCUCCAAGGCCCCCCACAGGCCUGGGGCCCUCUGACCUCUGCAUCCACAGGGAAGCUCGAUGCUUGUGGGCCUCUGGAGCAGAGCAUGAUGGUGAGUGUGGGGGCCCUGAGGCCCUGGCCAGCUGGCACCAUGCCCUGCCUCAUCUCACUGUCCUUUCUGGAGGGCGGCACCCCCACCCCACAGGACACAAGCCCCUGACCCAGAGGACCUGGGCCGGCCUCUCCCCGGGCACUGUCGGGGCAGGGUCGACAUGAGCUCCCCCAAAGCCAGGAUGAAGACUGAUGGGUUCCAGCCUCCCAUGGCCCUGGCCAGUCCUGGAUUCUGCCCCAAGGCUGAGCGACCCCUCUCAGAGCAGUAUGGCCUCCUGGGACCUGGGCAUGCCCCACAAAUCCAGGUCGCUGACCUAGGGCAGCACUGGAAAUAACAGGAAACCCCAGGGCAGGGCCAGCAGGGACAGGCUGGUGGGCCCUACCCUCACCCACCCUAGGAGGCAGGCUCCUCCACAUGCUGGGUCUCCAGCAGUCAGUAACCUGGCAUCAGGGGGCCAGAGGCCAGGGUCCAGCUGACCUGCUGGGACCCAGCGCAGGAACCCAUAAGCUGCAGGCCCAGGUCAGGUCUGCUGUCCUCAGAACUGCCUCUCAGGCCCCAACGUCAGGAAAUGUGCCCCCACCCAGAGUCUGCACAGGCUCCCAGGUGGGGACUCUAGCACCCAUACCCCCGUGUGAUUUCUGCUUUCCCCUAAAGGACAGGAAGGUCUCCCUUCCCAGGGGAAGGCUCGCACCCUUGGCUCUGAGCCCCUGUCUGCUGUUGAAAGUUCAAUAAAGUGUUGUGUGAAAAUGCA